rnacentral:tRNA from 1 species
CGGCCUCCGGCCGGCGGGUGGCGGUGGUCUCGGGCGGCGACCCCGGCGUGUUCGCGAUGGCGGCGGCGGUGUUCGAGGCGGUGGAGGCCGGC